rnacentral:rRNA from 1 species
GGUGACGGUACCUCCAGAAGAAGCCCCGGCUAACUACGUGCCAGCAGCCGCGGUAAUACGUAGGGGGCAAGCGUUGUCCGGAUUUAUUGGGCGUGAAGAGCGUGUAGGCGGCCAGAUAGGUCCGUUGUGAAAACUCGAGGCUCAACCUCGAGACGCCGAUGGAAACCAUUUGGCUAGAGUCCGGAAGAGGAGAGUGGAAUUCCUGGUGUAGCGGUGAAAUGCGCAGAUAUCAGGAAGAACACCCGUGGCUAAGGCGGCUCUCUAGUACGGUACUGACGNUGAGACGCGAAAGCGUGGGGAGCGAACAGGAUUAGAUACCCUGGUAGUCCACGCCGUAAACGAUGGGUGCUAGGUGUGGGGGGUGUCGACUCCCUCCGUGCCGAAGCUAACGCAUUAAGCACCCCGCCUGGGGAGUACGGCCGCAAGGCUAAAACUCAAAGGAAUUGACGGGGGCCCGCACAAGCAGCGGAGCAUGUGGUUUAAUUCGACGCAACGCGAA